rnacentral:rRNA from 1 species
CCUAGAGUAAAUACUCAUUUUAGGUGGUACCUGCCCGGUGUAUUAUAAUCGGCCGCAGUACUCUGACUGUGCAAAGGUAGCGUAAUCAGUUGGCUAUUAAUUGUAGUCUGUAUGAAUGGUGGUGUUAGUGUGGGAGAAGCUGUAUCAUUAGAAUAGUUGAAUUUAUUUAUUAGGUGAAAACCCCUAAAGAUUGAUAAAAGACGAGAAGACCCUAAGAAUUUGCGAUUAAAUUUUGUUGGGGCAACACAAAAACAAUAUUUUUAAUUUUUUGUUUAUUAACUUAUAACCCCCUCAUUCUGGUUAGAAAUUAAAUUACCUUAGGGAUAACAGCAUAAUAGAUUUUUGUUUGUGACCUCGAUGUUGGACUAUGGUUUCUUUGAUUAAAAGUCAAAGGUUUU